UGAGACACAAUACUGUAAGUCAUUAAUUAAAGUCCAUACAGUAUAAUCUACAUAUUAUACACAAUAUACAACACACACAAGCUGAUUUGUGUAAACAACACACUUCUGCAUCAUCAGCCAAUCAAAGACCAUACCCACUGGAGGGGGGGCGUGCAUCAAUCAAUCAAUCAAUCAACUCUAAUCACAACUGGGACAUCAGAGAAGCCAACACACACACACACACACACACACACACACACACACAAUAGAAUAAAAUAAACUGAAUAAACUACAUUGCAUCAGGAAGAAGAAGAAAGACUGAUAUUAAAUAUAACUGAAGAAUAAAGACUGUAAAAUAACUGUCAGUAUCUUCACUAAACUAUACAGGAAACAGGAAUACAGAAAUGAAACAAAAACCCGUCCAUUAAUAAACUCUAAACAUCCACACUACACAAACAGCACUUUAUUACUGUGUUUAUUCAUUAUUUAUUUAUUCACAAACAUCUCGCGCACUUUAACUCGAGAGAGAGAGAGAGAGAGAGAGAGAGAGAGAGGUCAGAGCGGAACGUCACUUCCGAUCAUAAUAAAUAAAUAAGAUAAUGUUUAAGAGAGCGGAUAUCAGGUGACAGUGCGUUAUAGAGCCUCAGUUCAGUCCUGUAGUUUAGCUCCACAGUGACGUCACGGGUUAUAGUCUGCAGUGAGCGGUUAUAACGCCUUCAUUACGACCUAAACACCGACUUAAUGACCUUUAUUUUACCUUUAAUGUGAGUUUCCGUCCCGGAGCGGAGUUCAGCGCGUGGCACUACCGCAAAACCCUCUCAUCUCUCUGGACUGAGAAACCUUCACCGCCGUGACGUCACAGCGCCACUUCCGGCUUCCGCAGGCAUCAUGGGACAUGUAGUAUAACGCUACAGGAGUUAGAGUUUAGAAUCUAGAUUCUUAGAUCUUAGAUUCUGUAUUUUAUACGCCAUACUAUAUGUUUUUAUUAUGUAAUUGAAUUAAAUUAUAUAUAUGUUAUAUUAUAUUAUCAAGUGCUGAGGAUUGAGACUUGUUUCUGUGCUGCAGGCUCGAGCACCGAAUGUUCUGGAGUGUGGCAGCCAUGUUGGAACAACACCACUAAUCUCAGAUUGGUGUGAACAGACAUCUUCUAAGACUCGGUAUUUUAGGCAGCACUGGAAAGUGUGUACUUUAAAAAAUAAUAAUACAUCGAAGUGUGGCGAGAAAAACCGUCCAAAGUUCACGUUUCUCAAAACAAGAAAUCCAAACCCAGAGUCGAGUUUUUGGAGAUUCUCCACAAGUCACUGUAUAAACCGAUCAGGACACUUUCACUAGAGUUAUAGAGAGGUCUGGAGUGAUUUAAUCAAGAUCAAGCGUGAAAUUUGAUUAAAUAAAUAUUUGAUUGAUAAAUAACGUGUACCUGUCACAGUGCUUUUACACGACACUGAGGUAUUAUAUUUAGCACUCUGACUGUUAUAAUGUCAGUGUUUAAUAUUAUUUAUUAACCCCCUCCCCCCAAUACAUCAUACGAGUAGGUGGCGGUGAUGCACCAAUCUGUGGCCGUGGUCAUUACACUAAAGAAGAAGAAGCUGCAGUUCCACAGAACAGCCUGUAGAUGGGGGCAUUGUACCUUUCAUGGCACUUUGGACUCUACAUCGGGAGCCGAAGUACUUCAUGCUUGAUUCUUCACAACGGGAAUACCAAGUUCUGGACUAUACAUUUCCAAAUGCACAGAAGUAUUGUUCAUCGUGAGCAAGCUUGGAUACGAUGGACAAGACAAGUGGUGUAGGGCCUACGUGGCACAAGGAUUCUCUGUGGCAGUUACCACCAACAAUGGAGUUGUGGCUCUCAAUAAAUCAUUAAGAGCUUCUAUCAAAUUUUCUGGAACAGAAAGUCUUUCAUCUCUGCUUGAAACUGUUAUAUGCAAGUUCAUCUCAGAACAGUUGCUAUCCUACAGUAGACUCAACUUCAUCUACUGUCGUUCAUCUACAAGACCUGCAAUCCAGAUGUUCCAAUGUUCCUGAGAGACAGACCCAGGAGUUUUGUCAAACAUUGCUUAAACACUAUCCAAGCAGGUUCCAUCUAUAUAAAAGAGCAUGUCGGGGUACUUGGAAAGGAAUCUUUCUUGGUAAAGUGUGAGACAACCUCUGCAGGUACAGAGUAGAACUCGGUACAUUACAACGUUCUUACCAUGCAAGCAUUUCUGUGCUGUUUUUAGUCACUCUGACAAAACUUGGGGAGACCUUAGCUCAGUUAACUGUCGAAACCCGGUGUACUGUCGAAACCCGGUGUACUGUCGAAGCUCAGUGUGUUGUCAAAGCUCCAUGUACUGUCAAUCCCGGUGCACUGUCGAACCUCCAUGUACUGUCAAUCCCGGUGCACUGUUGAAGCUCAGUGUGCUGUCAAAGCUCAGUGUGCUGUCGAAGCCUGGUGAACUGUCGAAGCCCAGUGUGCUGUCGAAGCCUGGUGAACUGUCGAAGCCCAGUGUGCUGUCAAAGCUCAGUGUGCUGUCGAAGCCUGGUGAACUGUCGAAGCCCAGUGUGCUGUCGAAGCUCGGUGUGCUGUCGAAGCCCGGUGUAAUGAGCCCAGUGUACUGUCGAAGCCUGGUGUAAUGAGCCCAGUGUACUUUCGAAGCAUUAAGUCCACUAAUAGUACACUAUUACUCUAGUACACUAGCCCAGUGUACUUUCGAACUUAUUUUAAAUUUCCUUUCCUGUUUUGUUUUGUUGACCUGUCAACUUUGUGUAUAGUUCACAUGCCUUGUGUUGGCAUUUGGCAACCAAAUUUACAUUUUUUAGUUCAUUUUUGAACUUUAAUAGUUCAUUGUUGAAAAGGGCUCUAUGUGCUAUACAAAUGUGUUUUCUCUAUUCGUCCUUUCAUUCAUUCUGUUUCAUAUUCUGUUCAUUUCCAUAAAAAGUCUAAAAAGACCGAGAGGGCAGAAGACACAGCGAUGGACAAAGACUUGCUUCAGACAAUACACAGUUACUUUACUAUAAAUGAAUCUGUUAUUAAUGCAUGAAAUCGAAGUUGUGUGUUAUUUUCACUUCAGGCAUGUGGUGUGGAUACCAGGAGAACAUCCACACUGUUACACACUGACAAACCUUCUCCUGUGAACCAUAGUGAAAACUUACCUAGGUUAACAAAGGUGAAAUAAUGUGUUCCAUUAAUAACGCCUGUCAUUACAUUACAUUACAUUUAUUCACUUGGCAGACGCUUUUAUCUAAAGCGACUUACAAAUAAGCAAAGCAAUACAUCAAGCAGAGAACAGUACAAGUAGUGCUACCAUACAAGAUCCAUUAAUUGAGUUCCAGAGGAACUAAAGUGCACAGAGUAGAGUGCAUCUUUUGUUUUGUUUUUUGUUUUUUUUUAUGAGUUGGUUAGGUGUUCAUAGAAGAGGUGGGUCUUUUGCUGUUUUUUGAAGAUGGUGAGAGAUUCUGCGGUCUGGAUUGAGGUUGGAAGUUCAUUCCACCACUGAGGGACGGUUAGCGUGAAGGUUCUUGAAAGGGACCUUGAGCCACGCUGAGUAGGAACUACUAAACGUCGGUCGCUAAUCGAUCGCAGAUUGCGAGAGGGAAUGUAGGCCUUCAGGAGAGAGUUGAGGUAGGGGGGUGCUGUUCCUGACAAGGUCUUGUAGGUGAGCAUCAAGGCCUUGAACUUGAUGCGGGCAGCUACAGGAAGCCAGUGGAGGGAGAUGAAGAGGGGUGUGACAUGGGUUCUCUUGGGCUGGUUGAAGACGUGGCGCGCUGCAGCAUUCUGAAUCAUCUGAAGGGGUUUGAUGGAGCUGCUGGGAGGCCUGAAAGCAGUGAGUUGCUUUCAGUCAGCGGACAUGUAGACGUUCAGCAGAGAUGUUCAGCAGAACUGUUCAGUAGAAAUGUUCAGGAGAAAUGUUUAGCAGAAAUGUGUAGCAGAAAUGUUCAGGAGAACUGUUCACUAGAAAUGUUCACCAGAAAUGUUCAGCAGAAAUGUUCAGUAGAAAUGUUCAAUAAAAAUGAAACUGUAAAAAAGAGAUAACAAGAGCCUGGACUAGAAUCUGUGUGGCCUGUUUGGUGAUGUAGGGUCAGAUUUUUUUGAUGUUGUAAAGGAUGAACCUACAGGACCUUGCAGUUGUUGAGAUGUGGUCUGUAAAGGUCAAGUCGUCAUCAAGAAUCACCCCGAGGUUCCUGGCCAUCCUGGUUGGCAUGAGUGUGAGUGAGCCGAGCUGUACAGUGAGGUUGUGGUUGAUUGAGGGACAGGUUGGGAUGACGAGAACUCAGAUUUUGCCAGGUUAAGCUUAAGAUGGUGUUCCUUCAUCCAGACCGAGAUGUCCGACAGGCAAGCAGACUGCGCAAAUUCUUUGAGCUUUUUUUUUAUAUGUAUGUUGUAUAUACGUUUAGGACAUGGCACCAGAGAGGAGACAUUCUGGAAGAAGAUAACCCAACCAUGGUGAUAAGCACAGCUUUUAAAUUCUCCCUGGCACGGCUGGAGGACCGUUCCUGGCUCAAU